CGACCGGGUGUGCUAGACCUCCCAGAGGAAAAGCGUGACUCGACGGCAUCUACACUGACCGUGCGGCCGGCGGUGGCUGGAUGGAUGAGCUCCUCGCCAAGCACUCAGGCCGUGGCACGACGACAAAGACGACAUGCGGUCAGCUGUGGCUCCAUGACGUACUCAUCUUGUAAGAUAUCACAUACAAGAAAUCACAGCUGAUGCAUUAGACCACGGCGACCGGCUGCUGUCGUUUCUUCUUCUUUGUGGCGUGUGCAAGGUCUUUGGGACAGGAGAUGGUCAACCGUGUGAUUUUCUGUAUUUUGAAGAACUAAUUUAACACAAAUAGACACAUUUGUGUCUUGUAGCUUCUUGCUUCUAUGCAAUAUACUCCAGAACUUUAUGCUCGGCAAUGACAGAAUAUUUGUAACUUAUUACUCUGAAA